rnacentral:rRNA from 1 species
GAUGAACGCUAGCGGGAGGCCUAACACAUGCAAGCCGAGCGGUAUUUGUUCUUCGGAACAGAGAGAGCGGCGCACGGGUGCGGAACACGUGUGCAACCUGCCUUUAUCUGGGGGAUAGCCUUUCGAAAGGAAGAUUAAUACCCCAUAAUAUAUUGAGUGGCAUCACUUGAUAUUGAAAACUCCGGUGGAUAGAGAUGGGCACGCGCAAGAUUAGAUAGUUGGUGAGGUAACGGCUCACCAAGUCAAUGAUCUUUAGGGGGCCUGAGAGGGUGAUCCCCCACACUGGUACUGAGACACGGACCAGACUCCUACGGGAGGCAGCAGUGAGGAAUAUUGGACAAUGGGUUAGCGCCUGAUCCAGCCAUCCCGCGUGAAGGACGACGGCCCUAUGGGUUGUAAACUUCUUUUGUAUAGGGAUAAACCUACUCUCGUGAGAGUAGCUGAAGGUACUAGACGAAUAAGCACCGGCUAACUCCGUG